rnacentral:rRNA from 1 species
UACAGAAGUGGCAAGCGUUGUUCGGAAUUACUGGGCGUAAAGGGCGCGUAGGCGGUUCGUUAAGUCCUGUGUGAAAUCCCCCGGCUCAACUGGGGAACUGCACAGGAAACUAGCGGGCUUGAGUUCGGGAGAGGGAAGCGGAAUUCCGGGUGUAGCGGUGAAAUGCGUAGAUAUCCGGAGGAACACCGGUGGCGAAGGCGGCUUCCUGGACCGACACUGACGCUGAGGCGCGAAAGCUAGGGGAGCAAACGGG